GAUGAACGCUGGCGGCGUGCCUAAUACAUGCAAGUCGAGCGAACGGACGAGAAGCUUGCUUCUCUGAUGUUAGCGGCGGACGGGUGAGUAACACGUGGAUAACCUACCUAUAAGACUGGGAUAACUUCGGGAAACCGGAGCUAAUACCGGAUAAUAUUUUGAACCGCAUGGUUCAAAAGUGAAAGACGGUCUUGCUGUCACUUAUAGAUGGAUCCGCGCUGCAUUAGCUAGUUGGUAAGGUAACGGCUUACCAAGGCAACGAUGCAUAGCCGACCUGCGAGGGUGAUCGGCCACACUGGAACUGAGACACGGUCCAGACUCCUACGGGAGGCAGCAGUAGGGAAUCUUCCGCAAUGGGCGAAAGCCUGACGGAGCAACGCCGCGUGAGUGAUGAAGGUCUUCGGAUCGUAAAACUCUGUUAUUAGGGAAGAACAUAUGUGUAAGUAACUGUGCACAUCUUGACGGUACCUAAUCAGAAAGCCACGGCUAACUACGUG
rnacentral:rRNA from 1 species